AAUGCAUUAUUUAGCAUCAUCAUAAUUGUAUGCAUCCUUUAACAUUCCUCCAAAUAUAACUUACAAAGUAGAAAAGUUUAGUGACUUUCACUCUCUCUCACACUCUUUAUAACCACCACCUCACAUUCAUUUUCUACUCAUUCCUAAAUCUUAACAUUUGACAAUUUCACUCAAUCUUUGAGUUUAUUUCUACAUGCUUGGAAGAAAUAAUUUUUCACUGCAGAUAGAAUGCUAAUGGAUGAAAAGAACAUAGAACCAAUGAUAAUUUUUAAGAGGCUUCAUUCCAUGUAAGAUGACAAAAUAUAUUCCUUUCUCAAAUUGUAUCUAAUAAAGAGUCAACUAAUAUUAUGGAGCAAGAAAGUUGUGGAAGAUUUAGAGGAUUGAGAUAUAUGAUGUUUGAAGAAUUUUCCAAUAGUUAGAUAAUAAAUUUAUAGCAUCAAUAUGUUUGGUGCAAGUGAUUCA